rnacentral:sRNA from 2 species
AACCACUUCAAUGCCCUUAGAAUCCAAGGAACCUAGGGCGCAUGUCUCUCCUUCGCCCAUUAUGCCCUGUCACAUUGGGACCGCUACAUGAGCCGAAGGCUGGAGCGUGUUCGUGCCUUGAAUGACUUGCGAGUUCUUUUUGAUCACUGACAGAUUCACGGGCAUAUGACCAGAAACGGGGUCUCCCACCGAACACAAAACAUUACUGACGUAUUAAUUCGCAACACCGAACACAGAUGGGGGAGGCGGAAAGGGAAAAUCAAAUGGAUGGACGAUGCAGGCGCCCUGUGAAUUUGAACCCAUCCUUCUACGAUCCUAGGUUGUCGCACAAUAGUCAUAUAGAGUGUGAUCUUCAAUGACAAGUGGCAGCCGUUAUUAUGUGUGAUCCUUUUAAUUGAAAUGAAUGUGUAGUUCGUUAUUCAUAAUGUGAUAUUGGUUUUGUGGUAGUAGGUAGAAUGGCGACAUACCCUUGCGGUGGUUAGCGUUGAAGCGCAGAUAGCGAAACCCAAAACGGGGAAAGUAGCUAUCAAACGUAUGCUUGUAUCGUUUGUAAAUAUGUCCAUCAUUGUUAAAUCCAAGCUAUAGAACAACAGCCGCUGAUGAAGUUCCCUUACGAUAGUUGGCUAAGU